CAGCAGCCGCGGUAAUACCGGCGGCCCGAGUGGCGGCCACUAUUAUUGGGCUUAAAGCGUCCGUAGCCGGGUUGGUUAGUCUCCCGGGAAAUCUGGCCGCUUAACGGUCAGAAUUCCGGGAGAUACUGCCAGCCUAGGGACCGGGAGAGGCCGAGGGUAUUCCCGGAGUAGGGGUGAAAUCCUAUAAUCCCGGGAGGACCACCUGUGGCGAAGGCGCUCGGCUGGAACGGGUCCGACGGUGAGGGACGAAGGCCAGGGGAGCAAACCGGAUUAGAUACCCGGGUAGUCCUGGCGGUAAACGAUGCGGACUUUGUGUCGGACAAGCUAUGAGCUUGUCGGGUGCCGGAGGGAAGCCGUUAAGUCCGCCGCCUGGGGAGUACGGCCGCAAGGCUGAAACUUAAAGGAAUUGGCGGG
rnacentral:rRNA from 1 species